UUCUCUAUACGUUUUUUCUUACUUAAUAUACACAAAAUCAAACUUUGAGUAAAGUGAGAAAGUUGUAUUUGUCAAAAUCGUAUUUUUUAGGGAAGUUAUAAAAUACGCCUUUCUGAUUGGACAACAGAACGUGACGUACAUUUCGGAAGACAUGCAGAACGUAGCCCACCUCAAUAACGCUCUGUUGAGUGGAAAUGAUUGACACUGAUCGACAAAAACAGGGAUAUAUGUUGUGUUGUGCCUGGUUUUUCAUUUAAUGUUUCACAUUAGGUAUUAGUGCCUUCUCUAUAAAUGUGUCCUGCAGCUUGCUUUUUACAUUUUAGACCAGGUAAUUCUAGUUUAGGGUCGUAUUAGGUGAUGUCUACAAAUCUUGAACUCAAGACGUUGGACGACAUCAUGGCACCCAGUCCCAGCAGUUCCAGUGACCAAGAUGAGUUGUUUGUUCGUCGAGGUGUCCAACCCUAUUUAUUUGAACGGAUCCCAAGCGCAAAAGUAUGGGAAAGAAACAAAUGAGAGGAAACGGACAUGGACUACAUGAGGCGACGACAGCACAUCAACUGGUGCAUGCCCUGACCGUGUGCUGCAAACAUAUCUGAAGUGGCCGCAAACACUACAACGAGAAGCACAGCGCACGCCUACAGUGCAUAACAUCUCACCCAGGCUUUCAGUCCGUCUACUCUGGACAGAUGGGUAGCCUAUUGGAGACAGCUUACUACCAAUGCGUGCCCAGCAGGAUCCAUCUGAAAUUGAGAAGCUCAGGCAUACUGCAUAUCGGCAGUUGGUGAAAUGGUGCUUGGAGUUACAAGGCUGCCUUGUUGGGUUCCACUGCCAUCCUGUGCAGUCACAAAGAUCCAGCAGACCUUCCAAUCCACACAACAUACAGGUUUCCAAGAUGUGAUGUAAUGAGCCAAAUAAAGACAUUUGAAUGUACAGUA